UACAGAGGUCUCAAGCGUUGUUCGGAUUCAUUGGGCGUAAAGGGUGCGAGUAGGUGGCGCGCUAAGUCAGGUGUGAAAUUUCGGAGCUUAACUCCGAAACUGCAUUUGAUACUGGCGUGCUUGAGGACUGGAGAGGAGACUGGAAUUCAUGGUGUAGCAGUGAAAUGACGUAGAUAUCGAGAGGAACACCAGUGGCGAAGGCGAGUCCCUGGACAAAACCUGACACUGAGGCACGAAAGCUAGGGGAGCAAACAGG
rnacentral:rRNA from 1 species